CCGCAGAAGCCCCGCCUUUGCCAGUUACAGCCGGAUAUACACAGAGGUUAAAACUACAAUUGCGGGCGAACGGCGGCGCGGAUCAGACCAAGAUAUCCUGACUAAGAGUUGCCUCAUCCCUUCUGUCCUUCGCAUCUCCUCAGCCGCCUGUGUGGUCGAGCCGUGCUGGGAGUAGCGACCUGGGUGUCGCCUGCAGCAGUAAGCCCAUCCUGCUUUGCUGCGGGCUCUGGUGAAGACCAGCGGCACCUUAGACUCCGCACCCUGGCACAGUCAGAGUCAUCUGCCACACAGGUCCAGCGGAUCCACAUACACCGGAGUUCCUGUCUUCAGAAACGUGCUGGACAACGCCUUCAUGAUCAUAAGUUACUACGGGGAAGAAAGAUAUAUCUUAUGAAAAAAGACCACUAGAGUGAAGGCGGGAUCAAUACUUGCCUCGGACGCACCCCUUACUGAGCAGUGGAUGUCAGAAUGAAUGUUCAGCAGAACAGAGGGAUUUGUGAGUCAAAUACAGAGGCUAGACACAUUAAAAAAGAAAUGUAAAGC